GACGAACGCUGGCGGCGUGCUUAACACAUGCAAGUCGAACGGAAAGUCCCUGCUGUUGUGGGGUGCUCGAGUGGCGAACGGGGGAGUAACACGGGAGUAACCUGCCCUUGACUUUGGGAUAACUUCAGGAAACUGGGGCUAAUACCGGAUAGGAUCUCCUGCUGCAUGGUGUGGGUUGGAAAGUUUCGGCGGUUGGGGAUGGACUCGCGGCUUAUCAGCUUGUUGGUGGGGUAGUUGCUUACCAAGGCUUGUACGGGUAGCCGACCGGAGAGGGUGACCGGCCACACGGGGACUGAGACACGGCCCAGACUCCGACGGGAGGCGGCAGUAGGGAAUCUUCGGCAACGGACGAAAGGCGGACCGAGCAACGCCGCGCGAGUGAAGAAGGGUUUCGGAUGGUAAAACUCUGUUGUUAGAGAAGAACAAGGACGUGAGUAACUGAACGUCCCCUGACGGUAGCUAACCAGAAAGCCACGGCUAACUACGUG
rnacentral:rRNA from 1 species